GGACCCGCACAAGUAGUGGAGCAUGUGGUUUAAUUCGAAGAUACGCGCAGAACCUUACCAACACUUGACAUGUUCGUCGCGACUUUAAGAGAUUAAAGUCUUCGGUUCGGCCGGACGAACACAGGUGCUGCAUGGCUGUCGUCAGCUCGUGUCGUGAGAUGUUGGGUUAAGUCCCGCAACGAGCGCAACCCUCACUUUUAGUUGCCAUCAUUUAGUUGGGCACUCUGAAAGAACUGCCAGUGAUAAGCUGGAGGAAGGUGGGGAUGACGUCAAGUCCUCAUGGCCCUUACGUGUUGGGCUACACACGUGCUACAAUGGUAUUUACAACGGAAGCAAAAACGGCGACGUUAAGCAAA
rnacentral:rRNA from 1 species